rnacentral:ncRNA from 1 species
GCCAUUUCCAACUAGUAUUAUAUAAUGAUAUAGUAGUACUUUAUAUUUUUGGGGCCUUAAAACCCGUCCUCAGUUCGGAUUGCAGGCUGCAACUCGCCUGCAUGAAGCCGGAAUCGCUAGUAAUCGCCGGUCAGCCAUACGGCGGUG